ensembl:lncRNA
CCCCAAGCACACUGCCCUCCCCUCCCCCGUGGAAUCCCCGUGGGGUGGGGCUGUGGGAUUGGGAUUGGGAUGAGGGAUGUGGGAUGGGCCGUGGGCUUGGGACAGGCUCGUGUCCCCCCAGCGCCACAGCGCUGCUGCCAGCAUCUGAACCGUGCCCCCCCCACCACCAAUCCCUCCAGCGCUGCUCCCGGUGCCUCCAGACCCAUUGCAGCCCCCCAGAACCGAAGCGAAGGUGGGCCUGUGGCUACUGGGAGCUGCGGGGAGGCUAUAGGGGGAUAUAGGGCUGCUGUAGGGGGCUGUGCAGGGACUGUUAAGGCGUAUGGGUCUAUAAGGAGCUGAGGGGUACUCUAGGGGGGAUCUGGGGCUGUGGUGAGCCAUCAGAGGAUUUGGGGCUAUAGGUGGCUGUGGGGAGGUUAUGGGCGGGGGGGUAUAUAGUCAGGCUGCCCAGGGAGGCUGUGGAUUGUCCUUCUCUGGAGAUCCUCCAAACCCAGCUGGAUGCCUACAGUACAGCCUGCUGUAUGGAGCCUGUUUUGCAGAGGGGGGAGGGGUUGGACUCAAUGAUCUCUAGAUGUCCCUUCCAGCCCCUACAGUUCUGUGUUUCUGUGAUUGUAAUCGUUGCUUCUUGCAGCAGUAGAGUGUUUCAGAAGAGAGAAAAAGAUGGUGGCAAUGAACUGGCUUUCUGUGGCUGGUAAAGCUGUGCUGAGAACUGGGCUGACUAUUGCAACUGAAAAUGCGUGCCAAGUCUGCAGACGCAGAGGAAUAACUAUUCCGUGUUGGUUGAGCUUGUCUAAGGUAGGUGUCCUUGCUAGGUGAGCUUCUGCUUUAAAGCAUCACGUUGUAAUUUUAAAAGCAAGGUUGCCAGUUCUUUUUUUACCCAAGUGAUUUUUUAGCACGGAGAGAUUUCAGAUGCUGUUUGGUAAUGGAAGAUGGAGAGAGGAAAAGCAAGGAAAAGGCACGCUGUGCAUAGCCAGCGCAUCCCAUCUGUACCGUUGUCCCCCUGCACAAAGGAGAGGAGCAUCUCAGCAAGCUUGGCCUGGGCCAUGGAAGGGAUCAUACAAACAUCUGGACCAACGCGACAGGAGUUAGUUCUGCAGGUUGGUUGUUUUCUGCUGUUUGUCCCACAUCCUGUUGCUCAGUGGUAGAUUUGUUCAUGUUCAGCGCUACCAGGAAUGUCCCCGAGCAUUUUGGUUUCAGCUGUCGCAACGCUUUGAUCCCCUGCUGCUGGGCUGGGGCGUUUGAGGAAUGAUGCAUGUGCUGAUGUCCACCAGGCUUUGGGGAUGAGUCUGCGUAGCAGGGUAUGUGUGGCAGGACUGAGGCUUGGGGAGCAGGCCAGGUGGAAUCCAGUGUGCUUUGCUGUCGUUCUCAGUGCUUGUUUUUGCUCAGGAGGGCAGGUGGUGAAGCUCAUGAAGCAAUGCCUGCAGAUGGGGUUUGCAGAGCAAGAGGUC